rnacentral:tRNA from 1 species
GUUUAAAUAGUUUAAAAUAAAAUAUUGAUUUGUGGUGUCAAUGAUGAAAUUUUUUUUCUUUAAAUC